UACGGGGGAGGCAAGCGUUGUUCGGAAUUACUGGGCGUAAAGGGCUCGUAGGCGGCCAACUAAGUCAGACGUGAAAUCCCUCGGCUUAACCGGGGAACUGCAUCUGAUACUGGAUGGCUUGAGAUUGGGAGAGGGAUGCGGAAUUCCAGGUGUAGCGGUGAAAUGCGUAGAUAUCUGGAGGAACACCGGUGGCGAAGGCGGCAUCCUGGACCAACACUGACGCUGAGGAGCGAAAGCCAGGGGAGCAAACGGG
rnacentral:rRNA from 1 species